rnacentral:rRNA from 1 species
CCUACGGGAGGCUGCAGUGGGGAAUAUUGCACAAUGGGGGAAACCCUGAUCCAGCCACGCCGCGUGCGUGAAGAAGUAUUUCGGUAUGUUAAGCUCUAUUAGUAGGGAAGAGAAUGACGUUACCUGAGUAAGAAGCCCCGGCUAACGCCGGGCCAGCCGCCGCGGUCAUAUGUCGGGGGCCAGCGUUAUCCGGAUUUACUGGGUGUAAAGGGGGCGUAGACGGUGUAAGAAGUCUGAAGUGAAAUGCCUGGGCUCAACCGCGGAACUGCUUUGGAUACUUUUGUGCUGGCGAACCGGGGAGGUAAGCGGAAUUCCGAGUGUAGCGGUGAAAUGCGUAGAUAUUAGGAGGAACACCAGUGGCGAAGGCGGCUUACUGGACGGUAACUGACGUUGAGGCUCGAAAGCGUGGGGAGCAAACAGGAUUAGAUACCCUUGUAGUC